GGCCUCAAGCUCUCCAUCCUCCUGUUUCAGCCUCCAGAGUGCUGAGGUUACAGCCCUGGAGAAACUCAAGAAAUCCCCAGUCUCUGGCCAGUGGGUGUGGUUGUCAUCUGUCCUUCAGCCAGAAGUGUUUAGUGCCUUGAGAGCUAGCCUGGCAAGAGACCCUUGUUUGUUUCGUGGCUCUUCUGCCCCUUGAUGCAUGGCCUCAGACGAUCAAUGCUCUCUGCACCUAACAUUCCCUGCCUACAAAGCUUGGGAGCGGAAUUGAAGAUGAUUAAAACUUCUUCUCUUUCCUUGACCGGGUCCCCCCUCCUUCUGCUCUGCUGGCGCUCGACCCAGAAGGCAGAGUCUCUCAAUCAAGCCAGAGCCCACCAUUUGGCUGCCUUAAUCAAUCACAGUGAGAGGCAUAUCUGUGAAGUGUGCAGCCAAGGUCCUUGGAAGGUCCUGGAGGCGAAGUUGGAGAGGAAGUACUGGCCUGAGGCCAAGGGCAGCAAAGAGUGAAAAGGGGCCGGGGACAGUGUACAGAGCAGUGGCUGGCUUGUCUCCACUAUCAGACUUUACUCCAGGAGGAGGCAGAGGCCGUGUGAGAGCCGUGCCGCUUCACCUGGCUCCUGACCUAUAUUGGAAGUGACAAACACGGGCUCCGAAAUGCUUACAAGGCACCUUGCCGGCAAGCACUGUGAAGUGAACAGAAAAUGAGACUAGAUGCUGAGCAAGUCCCACAAACUGUGUGCCCAAGCUCUGGACAGAGCAGAUAGACACAGUCUUCCUCUGAACUAUGCUUGCUGCAGUCCCUCCACCAGCAUGGAGAAGAAGCUCACAAGGACUGUCCUUCAAGCCUAUAUCCAUGCUCAGCUGUGCCAGCAUCUCUGGGCCUCAGGAACACCGAAGUCCUCAUUCUGAGCCAGGAACACAAUAGAAAUUUCGCAUGCAUGCUAGCAUUGAAGCCUGACAAUGACCACAUUGUCCCCAUUCCACGUGGCAAAGAGAAUAAAAAGACCAGGAGAUGGCAGAAGGACCGAGGACCUGGGGAGAAGACAGGAGGAGACUGGGGAGGGGGGGAGGGGGAAGGAACUGCUGCCUCUUUCCCAUGGAGAGAGAAAUGCCACAGGAUCCGGGCACUCCCUACAUCUCUCCACCUUCCGCCACCCCGUGAGCCUCUGCAGGGAGAUUUUUCUGAAUAAUGGGCCAUUUUCCUGUUUUAAUCAGAUGCAAUUUUGCAAGCAGUUUUUAUGAUUUAGCAAGUCCAUUAAAACUGGCGUUUGUUCUGCUCUGACACUCGAAAGGGGCUCUGCAGAGCAUAAACAUUGGAAAUUACUUAUAGGGAGAGACAAUAUUAAAAUUCCCCAGCCCAAGCCUGUUGUCUGAGAGAUUCUGCUAUCAAGCAUCAUGCCAGCUAUCAUCAGAGGCACUGGAGAUAUAUACUGCCUCCUCUUUAUACACUGGCUGGGGGCUCAGCAACUCAGGCAGCAAUAAAGAGGCUGCUGCUUUCCUUCAACACUUUAGGCAUCCGGAGAGGAAUGGGUCUUAAAGGGAACUUGCGGGAAGAGCAGGUCGCAAGUACAGGCUGGAGAGGAGAAGGGCCAGUGAGCAUGCCUUUAAGAGCCACUGUGGAAACUGCUUUCCGGCCCACAGUGAACAAUAGGGUCUAUUGGUCCAUAAUUAAGGAGGUUGUUUUUUGUCAAUUUCAUUUGUAGUCAAUUCUCAAUUAUCCAUGUACUAACAGAUGACCUGUUCAAAUAAAAAAACCCUCCCA
rnacentral:lncRNA from 1 species